rnacentral:rRNA from 1 species
UUGAUCCUGGCUCAGAAUCAACGCUGGCGGCGUGCCUAACACAUGCAAGUCGAACGCGAAAAGGGCUUCGGCUCUUAGUAGAGUGGCGAACGGGUGAGUUACACGUGGGUGACCUACCUUCGAAUGGGGGAUAACGUCCCGAAAGGGACUCUAAUACCGCAUAACAUCCUGCCUUUGAACAGGUGGAGAUCAAAGCCGGUGAUCGCAAGACCUGGCGUUUGAAGAGGGGCCCGCGUCUGAUUAGCUAGUUGGUGAGGUAACGGCCCACCAAGGCGACGAUCAGUAUCCGGCCUGAGAGGUCGGACGGACACACUGGGACUGAGACACGGCCCAGACUCCUACGGGAGGCUGCAGUGGGGAAUUGUUCGCAAUGGGCGCAAGCCUGACGACGCAACGCCGUGUGGAGGAUGAAGGUCUUCGGAUUGUAAACUCCUGUUGCCCGGGACGAAUAGCUUCGACCUAACACGUCGAAGUCUGACGGUACCGGGUGAGGAAGCCCUGGCUAACUCUGUGCCAGCAGCCGCGGUAAUAAGGU